GUCUACAGCCAUGCCACCCUGAACAAGCCCGAUCGCGUCUGAUCUCAGAAGCUAAGCAGGGUCAGGCCUGGUUAGUACUUGGAUGGGAGACCACCUAGGAAGACCAGGUGCUGUAGGCG
rfam:Pteropus alecto contig90648, whole genome shotgun sequence.